GAUGCGACCUCAGCUCAGG
rnacentral:rRNA from 1 species